rnacentral:rRNA from 1 species
UACGUAGGGGGCAAGCGUUGUCCGGAAUCAUUGGGCGUAAAGCGCGUGUAGGCGGCUGGGUAAGUCCGCUCUGAAAGCCCGGGGCUCAACCCCGGGAGGCGGGUGGAUACUGCUCAGCUCGAGUCCGGAAGAGGAGUGUGGAAUUCCUGGUGUAGCGGUGAAAUGCGCAGAUAUCAGGAGGAACACCGAUGGCGAAGGCAGGUCUCUGGGCCACUACUGACGCUGAGAAGCGAAAGCAUGGGGAGCGAACAGG